rnacentral:rRNA from 1 species
CACGUAGGGAGCAAGCGUUGUCCGGAUUUAUUGGGCGUAAAGAGCUCGUAGGUGGUUCGGUAAGUCGGGUGUGAAAACUCUGGGCUCAACUCAGAGACGCCACCCGAUACUGCUGUGACUCGAGUCUGGUAGGGGAGUGUGGAAUUCCCAGUGUAGCGGUGAAAUGCGCAGAUAUUGGGAGGAACACCAGUGGCGAAGGCGCUCUGCUAGGCCGCAACUGACACUGAGGGACGAAAGCUAGGGGAGCGAAUGGG